UAGCGAUUAGAUGUCAAAACAAAUAGUUCAUUAGGCUUGCUCAAAGGGAAGUGAUUGGAAGGUGUAAGAAGUGAGAAAUAGGAUGUAAAUCUCUACGAAAAAAUAAUAAUAAUAAAACUGGAAAAAUAACAAAAACGCAAAUGUGGAAAGCGGUGAACAAUGCAACAAAGUCGUAAAGAAUUAUAAAGUCCAAAAAUAGUGAAGGAAAGAAGAGUGUGUGCGUGUGAAGAGGAAAACGAGAUUAUACGAAGCUGGUGUGAAUUUUUAAUAAACUACGGGCGAAAAAGAGCCCGCAAAAUCGAAAUAUUGUGUGAUGAACAUAGUAACAAGAAGACGAGAAGUAAAAGUGGAACAAGAAACGUGAAAAUCAAUAGGUUUCGUGUUUAAGUGCAAAGCAAAAGCGGCGAAUUCCUUCGUGUCUAGCAUUGCGUUGCACGACUGAAAAGUUGAAAAAGAAGCUGAAAAGUUUAGAAAACUCUGUUAAAAACUCGAAAACACAUAGAAACAACAACAAGUGUUAAAAAAGUGAACAAAUAAUGACGCGAAAAUUAUAAGCAAAUAUUUUCUGCGCAAAAAAACCUCCAGACUUCACACAUAUUCGUACAAAGUGCAAAACAUUCAGACAUUUGUGUUAAAAAGAUAUUGUGUUCGGCCAGUAGCGCUGGAAGUUACGAUUUGUACAAAAGAGUUGCCUCCUAAAUUGGUAAUAUUCAUAUAAUAGGUGAUUUGGGUUUCGCAUUGGCAAUUAAAAAGUGGUAGCUAUUUUUAGUAAAAAAUUUUGGACGCAUUGCAUUCGGUAGCAAAGAAGUGAAUCUGCAUCCCGUGGCUUGAAAGAAAAUUAUGCAAAAAGACAACCCUCGAUUGCAGCGACGUAACAGUUGGCAGUGUAGUUGAACAGAGAAUACGUCUAGAUAUUGUUAAUUGCUUGUCAGCGAGGGCAGAAUUUAAGGGAGUAGAGGAAAUUGAUAAAAAUCAAGAAUCGGCAAAAGGCAAAACCAAGAGUAUAAU